AUUGAACGCUGGCGGCAUGCUUUACACAUGCAAGUCGAACGGUAACAGGCCGCAAGGUGCUGACGAGUGGCGAACGGGUGAGUAAUGCAUCGGAACGUGCCCAGUCGUGGGGGAUAACUACUCGAAAGAGUAGCUAAUACCGCAUACGAUCUAUGGAUGAAAGCGGGGGACCGUAAGGCCUCGCGCGAUUGGAGCGGCCGAUGUCAGAUUAGGUAGUUGGUGGGGUAAAGGCUCACCAAGCCAACGAUCUGUAGCUGGUCUGAGAGGACAACCAGCCACACUGGGACUGAGACACGGCCCAGACUCCUACGGGAGGCAGCAGUGGGGAAUUUUGGACAAUGGGCGCAAGCCUGAUCCAGCAAUGCCGCGUGCAGGAAGAAGGCCUUCGGGUUGUAAACCGCUUUUGUACGGAACGAAACGGCUCUGGUUAAUACCCGGGGCUAAUGACGGUACCGUAAGAAUAAGCACCGGCUAACUACGUG
rnacentral:rRNA from 1 species